GACGAACGCUGGCGGCGUGCUUAACACAUGCAAGUCGAACGGAAAGGCCCUGCUUUUGGGGGGCGCUCGAGUGGCGAACGGGUGAGACACGCGUGAGUAACCCGCCCUUGUCUUUGGGAAACCUUCAGGAAACUGGGGCUAAUACCGGAUAGGAGUUCCUGCUGCAUGGUGGGGGUUGGAUAGGUUCGGCGGGUGGGGAUGGACUCGCGGUUUAUCAGCUUGUUGGGGGGGUAGUGGCUCACCAAGGCUUUGACGGGUAGCCGGCCUGAGGGGGUGACCGGCCACAUUGGGACUGAGAUACGGCCCAGACUCCUACGGGAGGCAGCAGUGGGGAAUAUUGCACAAUGGGCGGAAGCCUGAUGCAGCAACGCCGCGUGCGGGAUGACGGCCUUCGGGUUGUAACCCGCCUUCACUAGUGACGAAGCGUAAGUGACGGUAAUGGGAGAAGAAGCACCGGCUAACUACGUG
rnacentral:rRNA from 1 species